CCUACGGGUUGCAGCAGCGGGGAAUAUUGGACAAUGGGCGCAAGCCUGACCCAGCAAUGCCGCGUGUGUGAAGAAGGCCUGCGGGUUGUAAAGCACUUUCAGUAGAGAAGAAAAGCCUAGGGCUAAUACCCCUGAGUCUUGACGUAACCUACAGAAGAAGCACCGGCUAACUCCGUGCCAGCAGCCGCGGUAAUACGGAGGGUGCGAGCGUUAAUCGGAAUUACUGGGCGUAAAGCGCGCGUAGGCGGUUUUGUAAGUCGGAUGUGAAAGCCCUGGGCUUAACCUGGGAAUUGCAUUCGAUACUGCUUAACUAGAGUACGGUAGAGGGAAGUGGAAUUUCCGGUGUAGCGGUGAAAUGCGUAGAUAUCGGAAGGAACACCAGUGGCGAAGGCGACUUCCUGGGCCAGUACUGACGCUGAGGUGCGAAAGCGUGGGGAGCAAACAGGAUUAGGUACCCGCGUAGUC
rnacentral:rRNA from 1 species